rnacentral:rRNA from 1 species
AGUAACGGCGAGUGAACGGGGAUUAGCCCAGCACCGAAGCCUAUCCACUCUUGUGGACAGGGCAAUGUGGUGUUUAAGCGUGAGCCUUUGAGCCACUCGUCUACUCGAAGUCCAACUCCGAUUAUGGCAUUGGAAAUUGUCCUUAGAGGGUGAUAGACCCGUCCGAGUAGAUGUGUGUGUAUUUUAGAGUGGCUCUUAGAUGCUCGCGCUUUCGAGUCGGAUUGCUUGAGAAUGCAGUCCAAAGUGGGUGGUAAACUCCAUCCAAGGCUAAAUACUGGCACGAGUCCGAUAGUAAACAAGUACCGUGAGGGAAAGUUGAAAAGUACUCUGAAGAGAGAGUAAAUAGCACGUGAAGCCGCCUGUAGAGAAGCUGGUGGAGUCAAGCUCCUUGCUCGAAUGAUUAAUAAUGAGUGAGUUGUGUUGUUUAUGGCAUUGCUGACUGGUGGAUCUGGAAAUGUUACGAUGGGUUCGCGCCCAUUCGAAGCUUUCUGGUUAGUGCUCUUUGGCCAGUCAUGCGGUGUCCUCACUUGUGUUCUAUCAUCGAGCUGCCAUCACGGUUGGUAUGUGCUUUGGUGUAUGGCGCUCAUACUGUGCUCAUGUGGGCCUUCCAGUCUGCUGGGUACAGGGUGGCAGGUCAUGCCUUGACGGUGCUCGCAUUGUCAAUGGUGUGCGAAUAAUAGCCGGGUGCCAUUGCUGUUUGUUUUACUAUUGCAUGUACCAUUCAUGGAUCUGGCUGUGUCCAUAUCAAUUGGUAGCAGUCAGUGAGA